UUCCUGGUGGUCUAGCGGCUAAGGAGCCAGCACUCUCACUGCUGGGGCCUGGUUUGAUUCCCGGACAGGAAA